rnacentral:other from 1 species
UGUUCCCUGGGCUGUUCGCCAGCCGGGUUAUGUCCCUGAGCCGAUGCUUAACCCAAUGGGGGCUUAUAUUGGUUUGCCUGUGUGCAUGUCCGCCUUGUGCGGAAAGCCUGAAGGCGUAGCCUGCAGCUCCCGCCUUGAACCUAUCGGUUCAAGGGCCACACCCGCAGCGGCAGACCGGGGGGCAC